rnacentral:rRNA from 1 species
UACGAAGGGGGCUAGCGUUGCUCGGAAUUACUGGGCGUAAAGCGCACGUAGGCGGCUCUUUAAGUCGGGGGUGAAAUCCUGGAGCUCAACUCCAGAACUGCCUUCGAUACUGGAAGACUUGAGUCCGGGAGAGGUGAGUGGAACUGCGAGUGUAGAGGUGAAAUUCGUAGAUAUUCGCAAGAACACCAGUGGCGAAAGCGGCUACCUGGCCCAUUCUUGACGCUGAGGCGCGAAAGCUAGGGGAGCAAACGGG